rnacentral:rRNA from 1 species
CCUACGGGGUGCUGCAGUGAGGAAUAUUGGGCAAUGGGCGCAAGCCUGAACCAGCAACGCCGCGUGAAGGAAGAAGGCUUUAGGGUUGUAAACUUCUUUUAAGAGGGAAGAACAGAAGACGGUAACUCUUGAAUAAGACACGGCUAACUACGUGCCAGCAGCCGAGGUAAUACGUAGGGGGCAAGCGUUGUCCGGAUUUACUGGGUGUAAAGGGCGUGCAGCCGGGAAGACAAGUCAGAUGUGAAAUCACGCGACUCACCCGCGGAACUGCAUUUGAAACUGUUUUUCUUGAGUACCGGCGAGGUCAGCGGAAUGCCUUGUGGAGCGGUGAAAUGCGUAGAUAGAAUGAAGAACACCAGUGGCGAAGGCGGAUGACUGGACGGCAUCUGACGGUGAGGCGCGAAAGCGUGGGGAGCAAACAGGAUUAGAUACCCCUGUAGUC